rnacentral:rRNA from 1 species
AGAGUUUGAUUAUGGCUCAGGAUUAACGCUGGCGGCAUGCCUAAUACAUGCAAGUCGAAUGGUUAGCUUGCUAACCAUGGCGAACGGGUGAGUAACACGUAGGUAACCUGUCUUCAAGACGAGGAUAACCAUUGGAAACGAUGGAUAAUACUGGAUAGGACAAAUCCCCGCAUGAGGAGAUGUUUAAAGGAGCAAUCCACUUGAUGAGGGGCCUGCGGUGCAUUAGCUAGUUGGUGAGGUAAAGGCCCACCAAGGCGAUGAUGCAUAGCCGGACUGAGAGGUUGAACGGCCACAAUGGAACUGAGAACGGUCCAUACUCCUACGGGAGGCAGCAGUAGGGAAUUUUCGGCAAUGGGCGGAAGCCCUGACCGAGCAAUGCCGCGUGAACGAUGAAGUAUUUCGGUAUGUAAAGUUCUUUUAUUUGGGAAGAAAAAACAAAUUGACGGUACCAAAUGAAUAAGCUCCGGCUAACUACGUGCCAGCCGCCGC